rnacentral:lncRNA from 1 species
UGAGAAUCCAUUAUAUGUUUUUCUUUUCAAAGUGUAAAGGUAAAUCUUGCAUUGAGUAUUACCAAGUCAAUCAACAAACAAAGAAUGCAAAAUGACAAAUGCAAAUUUGUUUCGUAAUGGAAUUUGUUUUAGCUUAGAUUAAUUAAUUGAAAAGUCCCAAACUGUAAAUUGUAUUAUUGGUGAUUUUUGUUUAACAUCUCUAAAUUGUUUAUUUGGUUCAGCCCUUCAUGCCGAUGCUGUCUCCCACUUUGACCCUCUUGGAGCUCUGGAAUAUCCCAAAUUUAGUAGAGCUUUCGUCCUCAUUUCAGAAUCUCAAUAACCUUGAGAGGUUGGACAUUUGUUACUGCAGAAAUCUGGAGUCUCUACCCACCGGAAUCAACCUCGAAUCUCUCGUUUCCCUUAAUCUCUUUGGAUGCUCACGGUUGAAGCGCUUUCCUGAUAUCUCAACCAACAUCAAAUAUCUCGAUCUAGACCAAACUGGGAUUGAAGAGGUUCCUUGGCAGAUCGAGAACUUCUUUAACCUCACUAAGCUAACUAUGAAAGGUUGCCGCGAGCUAAAAUGUGUAUCCCUAAACAUUUUUAAACUCAAACAUCUUGGGGAAGUUAGCUUUUCCAAUUGCGGGGCAUUGACCAGAGUUGAUUUGAGUUGCUAUCCAAGUGGGGUGGAGAUGAUGAAGGCAGACAAUGCUGACAUAGUUUCUGAGGAGACCACCUCUUCUCUUCCUGAUAGUUGCGUCCUCAAUGUCAAUUUCAUGGAUUGCGUCAAUCUGGAUCGAGAACCUGUCCUUCACCAACAGUCGAUUAUUUUCAACUCCAUGAUAUUGCCAGGUGAAGAAGUGCCAUCAUAUUUCACUUACCGAACAUCUGACUCUCAACCAUUUGGAACGUCUUCCUCUCUGCCCAUCCCUCUACUUCCCACACAACUCUCUCAACCAUUCUUCAGAUUUAGGGUUUGUGCAGUGGUAAGUGCUUCCAAUGGAGUAUAUAUCGGGGUAUAUAGUCGGUUCAAAGGCAGAAUUGGGAACAAAUUUGAUUCCUUUGGUGAGCUACAUAAAUUCAUGGAAAUUGAGAAGGGUAUUCAUCUGUGUAUAUUUGACUGUCGUAUCCGUCUAUACAAAGAUAAUGUUCCUCUAUCUCAACUGAACUAUGAUCAUGUGGAUAUAAAUAUUCAUAUAACUAGUGGAGAUUGGAGAUCUACGGUCGUUUUAAAAGAAUGGGGUAUACGACUCUUAGAGGACUGUUCAUCAGCGGAGAACCGACUUGGUAAUCCAAACAGUACUCUUCCACAUGUUUGUGUAGAGGAUGAAGAAAAUUUGGUUAAUGGGACUGAACAAGGUGAUAGAGGUGAUGUAGUGACGGAGACAAGCAGUAAACAGAAUGAAGACGUUAUCCUUCUGCAACGAUCAGCUGAUUCCAUGUUCUCUAGGAUGUCAGGAAAAGAAAUGAUUUCAUAUUUCACUCAUCGCACUACUGGAACCUCUCUAACCAACAUACCUCUACCUCACACCUCUCCCUCGCAACCGUUCUUCAGAUUUAAAGCUUUCGCAGUGGUUGGUUGCAAAUCUUCUGGUCAGUUUUCAUAUUUUGUCACCCAUAUUUCUUGUCGAUUCAAAGAUGGAUUUGAGAAUCAACCACGUAGGCUUUAUAAAGCUGAGAAUGGUAACCACCUUGACAUAUAUGAGUGCUCUUUCCCUCUAUACCAAGGUAAUGCUUCUCCAGCUGAAAUGAACUAUGAUCGCGUGGAUAUACAGCUUCAUUUAAGGUAUAGAAGUGACUCUACGGUCAGAUUAAUAGUAUGGGGUAUACGCCUCAUCGAGGACUGUUCAUCAUCCGAGAACCAACUUGGUUAUCUAAAUACUCUGUAGCAUGUUCGUGAAGACAGUGAAACGGUGAGAGUGCCAAAAGUUCCAAGAGGCUCAAGACAUUGAGAUAGGCUAUGAGACUGAUCAGAGUGAAGAGCGUGGAUACAGAGUGAUGAUAUUGGUAUAGACAGUGAGACUGAUCAGUUUGAAGAGUGUGGAAAUAGUGAUAUAGGCCAUGAGAUUGAUCAGAGUGAAGAAUGUGAAGACAUGGACGAUACUGGUGGUAUAUGCAUUGGGAUUGAUCAGAGUGAAGAGCGAGGAGACAGUGAUGAAUAGUGAUAGUGGCAGUGAGACUGAUCACUUUGAAGAGUGCGAAGAUAGUGAUAUAGGCAAUGAGAUUGAUCAGAGUGACUAAUGAGAUUGAAUACAAUGAAGAGAGUAGAGACAGAGAGAACCAGUACACAAUGGCAGGUAAGUAUUAAUCAAGAACUGAACAGAAUAACAGAUAUCUCGCCGUCAGGAUCUUUAAUAUUAUAAAUCACUGAGUUGUUUUCUUUUGCUUGCAGAUUAUGUGAAAAAGAAAUGAAUCUUUGAGAUACUUUUGUGGUGAUGGAAUGAGUAGUUUUGCUGCCGGUUCUAUGGAACAACAAGAAGAGCCCAAGAUUCCUCAUUGUCUCCCUAGCUAGACAGACAUUUUCAGGUGACCCAAAAAAACUCAUAAACCAUUUCAUUUUAGUUCCACAUCAAUUGUAAAUACAGAGCAUAUAUAUAGUAGCAUGCUUUUGAAUUUCUGAUUGUCUGGUUAUAGACUUUUUAUUAUAUAGAUAUUUGGCUGUAUUCAAUUGAUAAAUUUCACAGCCAUCAAUGUUGUUCACUGCUUGGUUAAAGACUUUGAUAUUAUCUAUUAUGGGAUAAUUAGAUACAUGUGUGCUAGUAUUAUGAGGCAUAUAUUUCAAAAAAAAGUCGUGAUGUAGUUACAAAAAUUGAUGGAAUUCAAGCCACUGGUUUUUAAUUAGAUUAUAAAGCUGAAGGAAUGGAAUUGUCUCAAAUGGCAGAUGAAGAUGGUACUGUUCAUGUCAAUGUUUUAUAAUUUUUUGUUUUUUUUCUUAGGUUGCACGUUUGUGAUAAGCUUAUUUCAUUACUAUAACGAUUUAAUUUCUGAAGAACUAUUUGUGUUAUUUGUGUUCACAAGAAUUUGCUGUCUGGAACAAAGUUUUACAGUGUACCUGAAUUGAGUUUUCUUUUAUUCGUUUUCGGAUUUCACUCUCCACUAGUUGAAAAAGGUCUGAGGCUUUCUAGAUUGUUUCAAACUUCGUUAGGAACAUGAAAAUUUGCAUCUAGACAAUGCCCUGUGGUAUCUGGUAAUCAAAAUUCUGUUUCUGGUUACUUCGUUUUUACAUGGGCAGAAAGUGAAUCUCCUACAGGUCUUGCGACACAGUUAGCUUUUGAUUUGAUAAGCUUACUGUUACUUUAACCCUGUUGACAUUUCUCACCUAUGUCAUUCGUUUGAAAGCUUGUUUUGAUUCUCUAAUGAUAUGCUUAACUUUCAUUCUCUGAUGAUUCUUUUGUCUUGCAAUUGUUAUUGUUCAGGAAAGCUGGAGGAAGUCACUUUGAUGACCAAUGUUGGUUACGGAUCUGACAAGAUAUUAAUGUAAGAAUAAGAGGCUAUGGACAUGGUUUUUACUUGAGUGGUGGCGAUUAAGUCCAAAUCUAAAAGAGAUGAUUAAGUCAAGAUCCAGCAGAAAAGAGGAAACUUUCGUUAAGGUGUAUGACAACAGUGGUGCAAUUGCUAAUGUUUGUGAAUUGGUCUUUUUUCUUAUUAGGGAUAUAUAAUGAAGCAAGCAUGAUUGAAGAAAUCGCCAAGUCUUAAUCGGCUCACGUUAGGUGGUGGAAAGACGACGCAUUGCAAAAGUUUUGCAGGCUGACGAAAAAAGAGGAGAAUGGAGAUCAAUUGGAAGAGGUUCUUCUUAUUUGAUUGGUUAAUUUUUCUUUUCUUUCUAUAUUUAGAUAUACAUGGUGACACCCAUUAUUGUCCAAUUUGUCCCUUUUUUCUGUUUCUUUUGAGACCAUGUCUAUAUAUGAGAAUUGAGAAUCUUACAAUUAAAUAUUUUGAACUAAUAAGUCUUUUAUUUUGUUUCCAACUCAUGUGUUUAACUAAGUCCUAAGCUAACACUAGAUUUUUUUUAAAAGAAAUUUGGUUUUCCUCCACAGUAUUUUUAUUGUUUUUUGUGGACUUGACCACAAAACUUCAAAAGACUCGGAAGAAAAUUAAACAAAUAUUAUGCACAAUUUCGCACCACUCAAUGCCUUGCCUCCCCUACCUAAAAUGUUGACAAUGUCGUCUUAUUCUUUAUGUCAAGCACGAUGAUGUGUCUGACUUUAAGUAAUUUACAUUUUUUAAAAAUUCGUGAUAGAUAUUCUCCCAAAUUCUUUCAAAUAUCAUAGGCUUUAAGAUGUUACCAACUACCAAGUCUCCUAAAAAGACCAAAAAGUCUCCUUAGAUAUUUAUCAAACUCUUUGAUGUUUUGUUGCUCGUUCCUUCGUUCACAGUUUCCUGAUUUAACAGUGGCCAGUAGGAUAAUGAUUACGUUGCUUCACUUUUCACUGUUACUGUGGAAUUGCUUGGUAAUUUCGAAAACUUGUAUCCUUAUUAAGAAUUUGUAAAAAGUUUUGCAACUUCGUAUUGUACAUCUUUAUUAAGAAUUUGUAAAUGAAUGAUAUACAGUAGUAAAGACAAGAGGCUAUGAAAUAUGGUUAUGACGAUUGAGUCAACAAAGAGGAAACUUCCGCCAAGUAAAAGUCUAAGAAAUAAUUGUGAAAACUUGUAUGGCCAAGUUACCUCUCAGCUGUUAUGUUAAAUGUUUUAUAUCCACCAAGACAGACUCACUACUUGUCCUCUAUUUCUCUUCUUAAAAUCUCAAUCUCCAAAGUCUUCGUUUCUAGUUUCCUCCUUCUAACUCUCUCUAUGGCUUCUUCAUCUUCUUCUCGCAAUUGGGUUUAUGAUGUUUUCUUGAGCUUCAGUGGGAAAGACGUCCGCGUAACAUUCCGUAGCCACUUUCUCAAAGAGCUUGAUCGGAAACUGAUCUCUGCUUUCAGAGACAAUGAGAUCGAGAGAAGCCACUCUCUUUGGCCCGAUCUUGAACAAGCGAUCAAGGACUCCAGAAUCGCAGUGGUCGUUUUCUCCAAAAACUACGCUUCGUCGAGCUGGUGUCUUAACGAGUUGCUGGAGAUUGUGAACUGCAAUGAUAAAAUUAUCAUACCGGUUUUCUACGGUGUGGAUCCUUCCCAAGUGAGGUAUCAAAUCGGUGAAUUUGGAAGUAUCUUUGAAAAGACUUGCAAGAGACAAACAGAGGAAGUGAAAAAUCAAUGGAAGAAAGCGUUGACUGAUGUAGCUAAUAUGCUUGGAUUUGAUUCUGCCAAAUGGUAUGAUUUUUAUACCAAAUUCAUUAUUAGAUACAUCUUGAAAUAAAAUUGUUGUUUCAUAUUUCUUAAAUUAUCUUUCACCUUAUUAGGGAUGACGAAGCAAAAAUGAUUGAAGAAAUAGCCAAUGAUGUUUUGGCUAAACUGCUUUUAACUUCAUCCACGGAUUCUGCUGAGAACUCUAUUGGCAUUGAAGAUCAUAUUGCAAAUAUGAGUGUAUUGUUGAAAUUGGAAGCUGAGGAAGUGAGAAUGGUUGGUAUAUGGGGUUCCUCGGGGAUUGGUAAGACUACCAUUGCAAGAGCUCUGUUUAACCAACUUUCUCGGCAUUUCCCAGUUAGCAAAUUCAUAGACAGAGCUUUUGUAUAUAAGAGUAGAGAAACUUACAAGGGCGCCAAUCCGGACGACCCGAACAUGAAGUUGCACUUGCAAGGAUGUUUCCUAUCGGAAAUUUUGGGGAAAAAAGACAUAAAGAUUGAUCAUUUAGGUGCACUGGGAGAGAGGCUAAAGCACCAGAAAACUCUCAUCAUCAUUGAUGAUUUGGAUGAUCUAGUGGUACUAGAUUCAUUGGUGGGUAAAACUAAUUGGUUUGGAUGUGGGAGCAGGAUCAUAGUGAUUACCAAUAAUAAGCAAUUCUUAAGGGCCCAUGGAAUUGAUCAUAUUUACGAAGUUAGUCUCCCUUCUAAAGAGCGCGCUCAAGAGAUGUUUUGUCAGUCUGCUUUCGGGGAAAACUCUCCACCUGAAGGUUUUGAGGAGCUCGUAGUUGAAAUUGCAUGGCUUGCUGGUAGUCUUCCUUUGGGUCUUACUGUUUUUGGUUCAGCUCUACGAGGGAGAAAAAAGGAGUACUGGGUGAAGAUGUUGCCAAGGCUUCAAAAUGAUCUAGAUGGCAAUAUUGAGGAGACAUUGAAAGUCAGCUAUGAUGCGAUAGGCAACGUAAAAGAUCAAGCGUUAUUCCGUCUUAUCGCAUGUCUUUUCAAUCACGUCAAAGUCAGAGACAUUGAAUUGUUGCUCGCAGAUAGUGGCUUAGAUGUAAAUAUUGCACUGGAAAACCUAGUUGAUAAGUCCCUUAUUCAUGUCAGAAAUGAUCAUGUGGAGAUGCACCGUUUGCUACAAGAAACGGGUAGAAAUAUUGUACGCUCACAGUCCACUGACAACCCAGGAGAACGAGAAUUUCUGGUGGAUUCAAACGAUAGUCGUACUGUACUCAGUGAAGGCAUUGUAAGUCUUUUUUUUAGUUGUGCUACUUUCAGUAUACGAGGUUAAGAAAGUGCCAUUUGAUGAAUCAUGAAUUGUAUGGUUUUGUCUCUAUCUCACUAAUAUCAUAUUUUUCAGGGUACUCGAAAGGUGCUAGGAAUAUCAUUGGAUACAAGUAAGGUUAGUGAGUUUUGUGUACAUGAGAAUGCCUUCAAAGGGAUGGGUAAUCUCCUUUUCUUGGAUAUUUCCUCGAAGACUUUUAUAGAAGAAGAAGUCAAAGUGCAUUUACCGGAAAAAAUAAACUAUUAUUCCGUUCAACCCAAACAAUUGAUUUGGGAUAGAUUUCCACUGAAAUGUAUGCCUUAUACUUUUCUUCGAAACCUCGUCAAGCUCGAAAUGCAUGACAGCAAGCUAGAGAAGCUGUGGGAAGGAGCUAUGGUAAGGUUUAAGAAUAAAUUGUUAAUGCUAAUUGUAGUUUUUAAAUGACGUGAUGUGUAAUUUCAACUGAGCUCUGCGUUUAUUUUUGUCUGAGUACAGUCAUUUACAUGUCUAAAGGAAUUGGAUAUGUGGGCAUCUAAAUACCUGAAAGAAAUCCCAGAUCUUUCAAAGGCCACUAACAUUGAGAAACUUGACUUUGGACAUUGCUGGAGUUUGGUGGAGCUUCCUUCCUCUAUACGAAAUCUCAAUAAACUGUUGGAAUUGAAUAUGGAAUACUGCGGUGAAUUGGAGACUCUUCCUACGGGUUUCAACCUCAAAUCCCUGGACUACCUCAAUUUCAAUGAAUGCUGGAAGUUGAGGACUUUUCCUGAAUUCGCAACCAACAUCUCAAAUCUCAUUCUGGCAGAAACAUCUAUUGAAGAAUACCCUUCCAAUUUGUAUUUCAAGAAUGUCCGUGAGCUAAGCAUGGGGAAAGCGGAUAGUGAUGAGAAUAAAUGCCAAGGAGUGAAGGUAUAUGUAGUUCUCUCCAAUAUCAUGAGAAUCCAUUAUAUGUUUUUCUUUUCAAAGUGUAAAGGUAAAUCUUGCAUUGAGUAUUACCAAGUCAAUCAACAAACAAAGAAUGCAAAAUGACAAAUGCAAAUUUGUUUCGUAAUGGAAUUUGUUUUAGCUUAGAUUAAUUAAUUGAAAAGUCCCAAACUGUAAAUUGUAUUAUUGGUGAUUUUUGUUUAACAUCUCUAAAUUGUUUAUUUGGUUCAGCCCUUCAUGCCGAUGCUGUCUCCCACUUUGACCCUCUUGGAGCUCUGGAAUAUCCCAAAUUUAGUAGAGCUUUCGUCCUCAUUUCAGAAUCUCAAUAACCUUGAGAGGUUGGACAUUUGUUACUGCAGAAAUCUGGAGUCUCUACCCACCGGAAUCAACCUCGAAUCUCUCGUUUCCCUUAAUCUCUUUGGAUGCUCACGGUUGAAGCGCUUUCCUGAUAUCUCAACCAACAUCAAAUAUCUCGAUCU